CCUGGGGAGUACGGCCGCAAGGUUAAAACUCAAAUGAAUUGACGGGGGCCCGCACAAGCGGUGGAGCAUGUGGUUUAAUUCGAUGCAACGCGAAGAACCUUACCUACUCUUGACAUCCAGAGAACUUAGCAGAGAUGCUUUGGUGCCUUCGGGAACUCUGAGACAGGUGCUGCAUGGCUGUCGUCAGCUCGUGUUGUGAAAUGUUGGGUUAAGUCCCGCAACGAGCGCAACCCUUAUCCUUUGUUGCCAGCGGUUAGGCCGGGAAC
rnacentral:rRNA from 1 species